rnacentral:rRNA from 1 species
AGGGAUGGGGGAUGCGUUUUGAUUAGCUUGUUGGCGGGGUACGGCCCCCCCAAGGGCUUCGAUCAGUAGGGGUUCUGAGAAGAAGGCCCCCCACAUUUGGAAAUGAGACACGGUCCAAAAUCCUACGGGAGGGCAGCAGUGAGGAAUAUUGGUCAAUGGGCGAGAGCCUGAACCAACCAAGUAGCGUGCAGGAAGACGGCCCUAUGGGUUGUAAACUGCUUUUAUGCGGGGAUAAAGUGAGGGACGUGUCCCUCAUUGCAGGUACCGCAUGAAUAAGGACCGGCUAAUUCCGUGCCAGCAGCCGCGGUAAUACGGAAGGUCCUGGCGUUAUCCGGAUUUAUUGGGUUUAAAGGGAGCGUAGGCCGUGGAUUAAGCGUGUUGUGAAAUGCAGGUGCUCAACGUCUGCACUGCAGCGCGAACUGGUCCACUUGAGUGUGCGCAACGCAGGCGGAAUUCGUCGUGUAGCGGUGAUGGAAACAGAUAUGACGAAGAACUCCGAUUGCGAAGGCAGCCUGCGGGAGCACAACUGACGCUGAAGCUCGAAAGUGCGGGUAUCGAACAGG